rnacentral:tRNA from 1 species
UCCUCGUUAGUAUAGUGGGCAGUAUCCCCGCCUGUCACGCGGGAGACCGGGGUUCAAUUCCCCGACUGGGAG